UAGGGAAUCUUCCGCAAUGGGCGAAAGCCUGACGGAGCAACGCCGCGUGAGUGAUGAAGGUCUUCGGAUCGUAAAACUCUGUUAUUAGGGAAGAACAAAUGUGUAAGUAACUAUGCACGUCUUGACGGUACCUAAUCAGAAAGCCACGGCUAACUACGUGCCAGCAGCCGCGGUAAUACGUAGGUGGCACGUGUUAUCCGAAAUUAUUGGGCGUAAAGCGAGCGUAGGCGGUUUUUUAAGUCUGAUGUGAAAGCCCACGGCUCAACCGUGGAGGGUCAUUGGAAACUGGAAAACUUGAGUGCAGAAGAGGAAAGUGGAAUUCCAUGUGUAGCGGUGAAAUGCGCAGAGAUAUGGAGGAACACCAGUGGCGAAGGCGACUUUCUGGUCUGUAACUGACGCUGAUGUGCGAAAGCGUGGGGAUCAAACAGG
rnacentral:rRNA from 1 species